CAUCUCCCUCAACUUUCCAUACCUUCUUUUUCAUCUCUGAUUUCAACUGAUUUGCUGAUAAACUCAUCUCCUUCACCUCUUUUAUCUGGAAAAAAAACAGAAAAAUCCCACCAACAAUUAUCCAUGAAUGGAAACAAGUUACAACUUUCAUUUAGUUUACAUUCUUGAGUUGGUUCUUGUUCACAUACACUUUUCUUGAGGAACAUUCUCUUCAGUUCCACUUUAGCCAGUUUUGAAUAUUCAGGAUCUUCUUCAGCCUGAACAGAUUGUAAUCGAAAUCGUUAUGAUUAGCUUGCAGAAUGAAGAUCCAACUUUGUGGAAUGUUUGUUUUACCUCGUAUAGAUGAGCCAACCGGAGUAAUACACUUCCAUCAUUCAACUCCUAAAGAACACAAGUUAGAGAGAGUGAGAAUGAGAACAAGAGCGGAGAGCAAAGUCAAUGAUGCUGGUAUCACCUGAAGAGUAAUCAAGGCAACAUUGAGAGGCAAGCUGUAAACUGGAUCCAUUGGUGUUGAUUUGGUCACCUUAGAUGCAAUCCAGCUCUCCCUUUUCUAUACAAACAAUAGAUAUUACUAAGAGGAAAUUUGAAUAUUAUUUACGGACAGUUUUCUCAUUUAAAACAAACAUCCUUUAUAGUAUUAUAAGUUCAUGUAUCAUACAUCAUGUGCAAAAGCCAAGAGUAGCGGAGAGUAAAUUUCUUGGCCUGUUUUUCGGCGCCAACGAGCUCCAGAGCCCAGUUGGUUGAUGUUCACAUAGUAAUUUCCUCUCACCUGAUCAAAAAAUUGUCGAUGAGAUAUGAGGAAAGCAUAUAAUUCAGGUCAAGCGUUCUGUAGUUUGUGGCAAUGAAAAACAUUAGAAACUUCUUCGACCAAAACAUUCCCAUAGUUUAAAAGUCAGCAUUCCAACC